GGUUAAGUUACUAAGGGCACACGGUGGAUGCCUUGGCGCUAGGAGCCGAAGAAGGACGCAGCGAACUGCGAUAAGCCUCGGGGAGCGGUAAGCACGCUUUGAUCCGGGGAUCUCCGAAUGGGGCA
rnacentral:rRNA from 1 species